GCCUACGGGAGGCAGCAGUAGGGAAUUUUCGUCAAUGGGCGCAAGCCUGAACGAGCAAUGCCGCGUGAACGAGGAAGGUCUUCGGAUCGUAAAGUUCUGUUGAAGGGGAAAAAGAGCGGAGAGAGGAAAUGCUUUCUGAUUGAUAUUACCCUUCGAGGAAGUCACGGCUAACUACGUGCCAGCAGCCGCGGUAAUACGGAGGAUGCGAGCGUUAUCCGGAUUUAUUGGGUUUAAAGGGUGCGUAGUCGGUCCGUUAAGUCAGCGGUACAAUUGCGGGGCUCAACCCCGUCGAGCCGUUGAAACUG
rnacentral:rRNA from 1 species